rnacentral:lncRNA from 1 species
GGCAACACAUGCGAAAGUGACAGAGACCAGGUUUAACAUUUAUACAACUAUUGUGUUGAAAUAAUGUUAGAGUAGGUUUGUUGCCUUUUUAACCCUCUGGUCAACCAUAAUUGAACCAUGACUCCAUGAGUGACAUUUUUUUUCUUUUUCCUAUUUUUUCCAUCUAUUUUUUCAUCUGCAAUAGUAACAUUAUAAUUGUGACAUAUUAUUCCUCCAUCCAGU